UGGGGAAUCUUGCACAAUGGGGGCAACCCUGAUGCAGCGACGCCGCGUGAGCGCUGAAGCCCUUCGGGGCGUAAAGCUCUUUCGACCGGAACGAUAAUGACGGUACCGGGAGAAGAAGCUGCGGCUAACUACGUGCCAGCAGCCGCGGUAAUACGUAGGCAGCAAGCGUUGUUCGGAGUUACUGGGCGUAAAGAGUGCGUAGGCGGUUUUCUAAGUUCGGUGUGAAAUCUCCCGGCUUAACUGGGAGGGUGCGCCGAAGACUGGGAAGCUGGAGUGUGGGAAAGGCAGGCGGAAUUCCUGGUGUAGCGGUGAAAUGCGUAGAUAUCAGGAGGAACACCGGCGGUGUAGACGGCUUGCUAGACCAUAACUGACGCUGAGGCACGAAAGCGUGGGUAGCAAACA
rnacentral:rRNA from 1 species